GAUAAACGCUGGCGGCGUGCCUAAUACAUGCAAGUCGAGCGAACGGACGCUAUCCGGGCUUACCUAGUGUUGGCGGCGGACGGGAGGCUAACGUAUGGAUAACCUACCUAUAAGACUGCGGUAACUUCCGGCAACCAUAGCUACUACCGCCUAAUAUUUUGCACGGCAUGGAUCAAAAGUGAACGACGCUCUUGCUGUCACAUAUAGAUGGAUCCGCGCUGCAUGAGCCAGUUGGUAAGGUAACGGCUUACCAAGGUAACGAUGCAUAGCGGACCUCAGAGGGUGGUCGGCUAGACGAGAAGUGAGACACGGCCCAGACACCGGCGGUGGGCAGCAGUAGGGAAUCUUACGCGAUGGGGGAAAGCCUGACGGAGCAACACCGCGUGAGCGAUGAAGGUGUGCGGAUCGGAGAGCUAUGUUGUUAGGGAAUAACAUAUGUGUAAGUAACUGUGCACAUCUUGACGGUACCUAAUCAGAAAGCCACGGCUAACUACGUG
rnacentral:rRNA from 1 species